GAGACAACUGGCUAACGUGCAGUGCGUGUCAUUCAAGAGUAACUCAGAUGAGGGCUUAGAAUUCCGGCUUACAGAGAGUCUUCAGCGGAGACCAGCACAUUUGUGGAGAAGUGACAAGACAGAGGAAAGUGAUUUUAGGCUUCCAAGGACUGCACACUGGGAAGAGAGGAAGACAUGAGAUUCCUGGUGCUGUGUCCUUUAUUCUCCUCACCCUGGAAGAAUCCACCAUGUCACAUGGAUCGGUUUGCUUUGAAUCCCGUCUGUUUAAUUGUGAGUACAUCAUGAGAAACACUGGGCAGGAAGAAGCACAAGCUGGAAUCAAGAUUGCCGGGAGAAAUAUCAAUAACCUCAGAUACGCAGAUGACACCACCCUUAUGGCAGAAAG
ensembl:lncRNA